UACACUCCUACGGGAGGCAGCAGUGGGGAAUUUUGGACAAUGGGCGAAAGCCUGAUCCAGCAAUGCCGCGUGUGUGAAGAAGGCCUUCGGGUUGUAAAGCACUUUUGUCCGGAAAGAAAUCCUUGGCUCUAAUACAGUCGGGGGAUGACGGUACCGGAAGAAUAAGCACCGGCUAACUACGUGCCAGCAGCCGCGGUAAUACGUAGGGUGCGAGCGUUAAUCGGAAUUACUGGGCGUAAAGCGUGCGCAGGCGGUUUGCUAAGACCGAUGUGAAAUCCCCGGGCUCAACCUGGGAACGGCAUUGGUGACUGGCAGGCUAGAGUAUGGCAGAGGGGGGUAGAAUUCCACGUGUAGCAGUGAAAUGCGUAGAGAUCUGGAGGAAUACCGAUGGCGAAGGCAGCCCCCUGGGCCAAUACUGACGCUCAUGCACGAAAGCGUGGGGAGCAAACAGGAUUAGAUACCCCGGUAGUCCC
rnacentral:rRNA from 1 species